AUUGAACGCUGGCGGAAUGCUAUACACAUGCAAGUCGAACGGCAGCACGGGAGCUUGCUCCUGGUGGCGAGUGGCGAACGGGUGAGUAACAUAUCGGAACGUAUCCAAUAAUGGGGGAUAACUAAGCGAAAGCUUGGCUAAUACCGCAUACGCCCUGAGGGGGAAAGCUAGGGAUCUUCGGACCUGGCGUUAAUGGAGCGGCCGAUAUCUGAUUAGCUAGUUGGUGAGGUAAAGGCUCACCAAGGCGACGAUCAGUAGCUGGUCUGAGAGGACGACCAGCCACACUGGAACUGAGACACGGUCCAGACUCCUACGGGAGGCAGCAGUGGGGAAUUUUGGACAAUGGGCGCAAGCCUGAUCCAGCCAUUCCGCGUGAGUGAAGAAGGCCUUCGGGUUGUAAAGCUCUUUCGCAAGGGAAGAAAGAUUACGCUCUAACAUAGCGUGAUUAUAACGGUACCUUGAUAAGAAGCACCGGCUAACUACGUGUCAGCAGCCGCCGUAAGAC
rnacentral:rRNA from 1 species